CUGGGUUAGUCGGGACCUAAGGAGAGACCGAAAGGUGUAUCCGAUGGACAACAGGUUGAUAUUCCUGUACUAGAGUAUGUAGUGAAGGAGGGACGCAGUAGGCUAACUAAAGCGUGCGACUGGAAGUGCACGUCUAAGCAGUGAGGUGUGAAUUGAGUUAAAUGCUUAAUUCUAUAACAUUGACCUGUGAUGGGGAGCGAAGUUUAUUAGCGAAGUUAGUGACGUCACACUGCCUAUAAAAGCUUCUAGCGUUAAUAAAACUCUACCCGUACCGCAUACCGACCCAAGUAGUCGA
rnacentral:rRNA from 1 species